CCCUUAGAUGUUCUGGGCCGCACGCGCGCUACACUGAUGCAUUCAACGAGUUUCUUCCUGGUCCGAGAGGAAUGGGUAACCUUUUGAAAGUGCAUCGUGAUAGGGAUAGACUAUUGCAAUUAUUGGUCUUCAACGAGGAAUUCCUAGUAGACGUAGUUCAUCAGACUGCAUCGAUUACGUCCCUGCCCUUUGUACACACCGCCCGUCGCUCCUACCGAUUGAAUGGUCCGGUGAGGCUUUGGGAUCUGAGCGGAAAGAGCGUUUCGCUGUUUCUGCCCGGAAAACUCAGUCGAACCUUAUCAUUUAGAGGAAGGAGAAGUCGUAACA
rnacentral:rRNA from 1 species